AGUCGAGCGGUUGAGGGAAGCUUGCUUCCUGAUUCAGCGGCGGACGGGUGAGUAAUGCCUAGGAAUCUGCCUGGUAGUGGGGGACAACGUUUCGAAAGGAACGCUAAUACCGCAUACGUCCUACGGGAGAAAGCAGGGGACCUUCGGGCCUUGCGCUAUCAGAUGAGCCUAGGUCGGAUUAGCUAGUUGGUGAGGUAAUGGCUCACCAAGGCGACGAUCCGUAACUGGUCUGAGAGGAUGAUCAGUCACACUGGAACUGAGACACGGUCCAGACUCCUACGGGAGGCAGCAGUGGGGAAUAUUGGACAAUGGGCGAAAGCCUGAUCCAGCCAUGCCGCGUGUGUGAAGAAGGUCUUCGGAUUGUAAAGCACUUUAAGUUGGGAGGAAGGGCAGUCAGCGAAUACCUUGCUGUCUUGACGUUACCGACAGAAUAAGCACCGGCUAACUCUGUGCCAGCAGCCGCGGUAAUACAGAGGGUGCAAGCGUUAAUCGGAAUUACUGGGCGUAAAGCGCGCGUAGGUGGUUUGUUAAGUUGAAUGUGAAAUCCCCGGGCUCAACCUGGGAACUGCAUCCAAAACUGGCAAGCUAGAGUAGGGCAGAGGGUGGUGGAAUUUCCUGUGUAGCGGUGAAAUGCGUAGAUAUAGGAAGGAACACCAGUGGCGAAGGCGACCACCUGGGCUCAUACUGACACUGAGGUACGAAAGCGUGGGGAGCAAACAGGAUUAGAUACCCUGGUAGUCCACGCCGUAAACGAUGUCAACUAGCCGUUAGGAGUCUUGAACUCUUAGUGGCGCAGCUAACGCAUUAAGUUGACCGCCUGGGGAGUACGGCCGCAAGGUUAAAACUCAAAUGAAUUGAC
rnacentral:rRNA from 1 species